rnacentral:lncRNA from 1 species
CCCCAAACUGGAACUGCCGGGACGACGACUGCCAACCGGCCACACGACCCAGGCAGAGACGCGGGGACACGCUGACCAGAAGAAAGGCCGACGUGCAAGAAACCCACCCUCCGGCGCACAGGGCACAUGUGUCCCAAGGCGCACGCACACACAGACGGACAGAGACAGACAGAGAGGGCGACGGAAACAGCGAGAAGGGAGAGAGAGAGAGAGAGAGAGAGAGAGAGAGAGAGAGAGAGAGAGAGAGAGACGUGAGAGAGAGACAGAAGUCGGCACACAGACACGCACUGCGCGCGCACACACACAGACACACACACAGACGCAUCCCCCCAACACACACACACACACACCCAUAACGAACACACACGUACAGCAGGGAACACCCACCCGCAGGCAGCCCCUGAAGCUGCCGGGUUCUGCUCUCCGAGACUAAGAGCCACCGGUGAGAGAGCAGCCCACGGGCACACAGGCGGACCUGUGCUCGUCAUCACAAGGGCUCCACUUUUGGGGAGACUCACCCGCACACCGUCCGCGCACGCCUGAGGCUGGGAUCCCGCGCUGCCUCGCCGGCGAUCUGUCUGAGGUUUCUUCCUCUUGGGGUUUCUUCCUGCUGGUGGACCCUCCGCGAAUCCCGGCCUCCGGAGACCGUCCUGGUAACUGCCCUGGCCAGGACUGGUCUCAGCCCAGACUCAGACGCACGAUCACACAGGGCUCCUACUUCGCCAAGUGUCAGGGACCCAUCCCCGGGCAACGGUGGCUUUCACUGUGACCCAAGCGGCGGCUUGGGCCUCGCGCAUGCGCACUGGCGAGGCCGACUCCCCCGCUCCACCCCCCCUUACUCCGCAGAGUCAGGCUGCGGACCCUUUAAAAAAUGGCGGCGACGCGGCGGCUGCGGGGCCUGGGGCGGCGGUGCUGGAGGUUGCGGCGGCGGCGGUGGCGGCGCAGCCCGAGGCGGCGGGUGGGAAGAGGACUGCCAGAGGGGCCUGCGGGAGACCCAGGGUCGGACCCAUAGGAGUCCUGUGGUGAGGACCUCCUUGAUCGCUCUUCUGCUUCGGUUCCCGCGAAAGGAGGAGCUUCGGGAUGCCGGCUGGGCUGCGCGGACUCCUCUUGGGGUCCGAUGAUGGAUCCAACCGGGUGAUCGGGAAUGGGGUUCCAAUGCAGUGAGGCCGAAAGGGUCUCGCCGGGGCACAGAAAGAUCCCCAGGGCGCAAGGCGUGCUGUCGGCUGCAAAGGCACCGACCCAUGAGCCCACUGCCUCCCUCCCUCCUGGCAGGAGCAGGGGCCUGCCUUCAUCUCCAAGGCCCGAGGGCUCCAGCAUCCCGACGCGGCUUCCGGCGACACGGGCAAAGAGAGACAGAGGCGAGUCCGAGCUGGUGCCAGCGUGUCCACAUGUGGCACUGUCGUCCCCCAAGAGCACAUGCAGGCAGCGUGUGUCUUUGAGGCCGUAGGGGGCGACGACGAGACGGACAGUGAUGUCCAGGCGUGCGCCCGGGGGGCCACUGGAGACCUGCCCCACAAAGCGGAGGAAAAGCCAAGCGCACCUGAAAACCUGCGAGACAGGGCCUGUGCGCGAGUCCACGCCACGUUCAGGGAGGCCCGCCAGAGGAGCCGAGAGGUUUGGACAAAGUACACCCCACCCCCAGCCCGCCGCCGGCUAGGU